AACGCACAUUGCGCUCUCCGCUUCUGCGGGGAGCAUGCCUGUCCGAGCGUUAGAAACCCCCUCAGACACAGUCUGGUAGUGGACUAGGUCAAGCGUGCUUGGCCGGUCUUAAACUCCGUGGCUCUAGUAACGGCACCUGAGCGCAGUACAUCUCUCGCUUCUAGGACCGUGACGGGAAGUCCAGAAACCCUCCUAAACGUAACCUCGGAUCAGGUAGGAAUACCCGCUGAACUUAA
rnacentral:misc_RNA from 1 species